rnacentral:lncRNA from 1 species
AACUCAUGUCAGCUUCGACCAGGAGACAUAGCCCAGGCCCGAGGCCUUGUGCUUGACACUUGGCUUCAGAGCCAGUAAAUACGAAGGUCUUCCAACUUCCCUCGGUUUGCCUGGCUUUAAAUAUCUCCACUGUCCUACUAUAAAAAGCCAUAAAAACAAUUGUAAGGACAAAGAACACAUCACACAAAGGCAUCUUGAAUCCCUCCUCUAGGCUCCAGCCCCAGGGCGUCAAAAGUCUAAAGAGCUCUCUGUGAUGCAAAUGAACCCUGCAGGAUUGACUUCUAGCUACUGUGAGAUCCUGAAGGGUUUGGAGACCCAUCAGAGUAGUAACUUUUGUAAAGUGCAUCUUAUGCACCUCCUUUGGAAGUACAAUUUCAUAUAGGACUCCCUCACAGAAACCAGACAAAACGGAUAUUCCACGGUAGAAUCCCAGCUGUCAGGCUUUGAACACCUUGGAGGAAGUGCUGGGCUCCCUAAACCAUGUAAAAACCAUCAGGAAUUCAACGGAGGAGACAUGCUGUAGUGAUUAGCAGCAGGCACCCAGGAGCCAGGUUGUCUGGUCUGGAAUCUGAGCUCUGCCUUUUUCUAACUGUGUGAGGCCUCUUAGGUCACUGAACUUCUCCAUGUCUUGGUUUCCCUCAUCUGUAAUUUCGGUUCUGAGAAUUUUUUUCCCAUUUUUUUAAAGCGUUAUGGAAGUAUAGUUGAUUUAUAAUGUUGCGAUCAUUACUGCUGUAUGACAAAAGUGAUUUAGUUAUCUACGUACAUACAUCCAUUCUUUUUCAGAUUCUUUUCCCAUGUAGAUCAUCACGGAAUAUUGGGUGGAGUUCUCUGUGCUAUAGAGCAGGUCCCUGCUGGCCAGUCAUUCCAUAUACCUCGGUGUGCAUAUGCCAUGUGUUAAUAUUUGUAAAGUGUUUAGAGUAGUCAUAUACUAGUGUUUGUCUAAAAAAGAAAAAAGAAAAAGCCCUUUUUAACUUAUUUAUUUUAAUGUUCUUUGUUGUUUUUCGUGUGUGUGGGUUUUUUUGGGUUUUUUUUUUUCUUCCUUUGUUUUUCUUUUUACAGCCAUACCUAUGGCACAUGGAAGUUUCUGGGCUAGAGGUUGAAUGGGAGCUGCAGCUGCAGACCUCCACCACAGCCACAGCAAUGCCCAAUCUGAGGGGCAUCUGUGACCUCUGCUGCAGCUUGUGCAAUGCUGGAUCCCUAACCCACUGAGCGAGGCCAGGGAGCAAACCCACAUCCUCACAGACACUAUGUCAGGUUCUUAACCCACUGAGCCAUGAUGGGAACUCUAGUGUUCUUUGAAAUGAAAAGUAAGAACUCGUAGUAUUAUAGGAAAAUGUUUUAUUGCCUAAGAUAUUUUACUUCUUAGCCAGAUUACUAUUCCCAAAUCUGCUCUCCAUUGAUUGGUCUUAUUCUAGAGACAUCAACCACCACUGUGGUUCCAGACCUGGACUUGUGUAUUUUCUGUGUAUUCCUGUGUGAUCUCGGAUGGAUAGGCCAUAGUCCAUUCAUUGUUGAAGAUUAGUGAGAAUUUUGAAAAACCUUUAAAAAUAUAUUUCUGGAAUCACUUCCUUAAUCUCCUCUUCUCUGACUUUCAGUACAUAUUAACACCUAGACUUAUAUAGUGUUAUUAAUAUCUCUCUUUAAAAAAAAAUCCCAAGGCAUUUUCAAUGGCCUUCAGCCAUCUCUGUUCAAUCCUCACUCGGCCUGAAGUAGAGGUCAGCCAACCAAUUGUCCUCUGUCAACCAGGCUGUGUUUUCAACUUCUAUAUCUGGAGUUUGAAUAAAACCACCAUUUUUUUUAAUAAAAAAAUUUGCCAAGUAAUCAGAAUACCAGUUUUCUUUGGUUUUCUGUGUUUUGUUUUCUUCUGGUGAUAACUUGUGAGCCAUUUAUUUAGGCCCUGUAUUACAACAGCCGGGCGUGACAGGAGUGGUGAGGGAUGGCCAUGCCCAUCGCAGACACAUCUACUUGUCAUUACUAAUUAUCUGCUGCACGCUGGACAUUUCUCUCAUUCCUAGCUGGCAGCUUUGGCUACCUGGCGCCUGUCAUUCUGGCUUACGAUGUAGAUUUUUAAUUUUGACAAAUAGACAGCCGAUGGUAGGGUGUAGCAUUUCUGACAUGGGAGAGAGAAAUAGGGUAUGUAAUAGCAUUUAUUUCUGGAGGGAAAUUACAAGAAUUUGCAUUGAAUUGGAGAAAAUGACUGCAAAACAGGGAACGCACACUGUGCGACCAAGAGCAAAAAGCACAUUCUGUCCCUGUUCUUUCAUUACCCACUGAGUUCAAAUGGAACACAGCUCUUUCUCUAGAGCCACCUCCAUGAUUAGGGCUCUAAAGGAUGGUGGCACAGUAAAAUAAAAAGCUGAUUGGGAAAAUUACUAGUUGAUAGAAUGCAUAUUUGACGUUUUACUGCCAAUACUGGGAUUUACAUAAUAUCCUCGUUACCUGUGACUAUAUCUGCAUGUGCCUAGUUAGAAAAGGUCAUUUAAUUUCUGAGGCUCCUCAAGAAAAAAAAAAAAAUGGCUAAAAGAAUAAGGUGGAUUAAUUGCUAAAAUAAUGCCAAUAGCUAUUAAAAACUGAAUGCUUUCAGUUGCUUUCAUAUUGCAUUUUUGGCUCAAAGCAAAUAUUUCCUUUUUUAUUCUGCCUAAAAGUAUAUUUCAUGUUGGAAAGAUGCAAAUGAAUGGGAAAACAAAAUACUACAGAAAGAAACUAGUUUUUAAAUUCUUAUUUAUGAUAAAAUAGUUAUUUUUUCUGAUUACAAAAUGAUAUAUGUUUGUUGUAGAAUACAUGGAAAAAAGAAAAGUAAUCAUAAAUAAAAAUAAGCAGAAUCUACUGCUGACAUUUUAAGCAGAUUCUGUGUGUGUAUGUGUGUUGGGAGAUAUAAGAAUUAAUAUUUCUAUACCCUUUCUUUUUACUUAAAUUUUACCAUAAAACUUUCCCAUAGAAUAUAUAUGUUACAUAUAUUAUAUUAAUAUUUAUUACAUUUAUGGACACACUAUGAUUUAUUUAUUUAAACUUUUUUUGGCAGUUAUGGGCAUUUACAUUGAAAAAAUUUUAAAGUAUUAUGAUGCGUAUUGAUGCCCAGAUAUCUUAGACACCAGUUAGUUCUCUAAGAUAAAUUUCCAGAAGUGUCAAUGAACUAUCAAAGUAAAUGAGCAUUUAUAAGUCUCUCAAUAACUUGACACCAUUUUCCAGAGAGCGGAUCAAUUUAUACCAACACCGAUCAUGUAUGCCAGAAAUUUCACCAUCUCAGCCAACAAUCAUUAUUAAAUAUAUAUGUAUUUAUAUUUAUGGAAAAUAUAUAUUUGGCAAUUUGAAUGAACAAAACCCCAAUAUCAUCCUGUUUUAAUUGGCAUUUGACUCAUAUCUUUAUAUCUUGGGUUUAGGUAACAUGAAGAAUGGAACAAUCACAGACAGCCUUGCAGAGACUCCCAUGGAAGAUGUAAUCACUACUGACCAGGACAUAAGGCUGCUGAACCAGAAGUGGACUUGACAUACAGCAGUGACGCUGCCUGGCUUUGAGGGUGACAGAACUCACCUGAAUGUGCUUCCAUUCACACAAGAGUUCCAUUCUGAGAACUUGUGCAGUGGUUGUAUGUUUCUUAAUCAAGUCGCAUUUCAGGCAUCUCAAAAUAGCGCUCAAAGUAAAUGAACUUAGAAGUGAAUCCUUUAAAAGUAUUUCAGGUAGGUCCAAGACAUAAAAGUCACAUUAUACAUAAAUCAUCUGAUGUGAGCCUUACAAAGACGCAAUGAUCAACCCUUUGAGGAUGGCAUUUUUACAAGUUUCAUUGUGCAAUGACGAAGCCGAGGUUUAUGAUAGGGGAUGGGGAGAGGAAAAGGAAAUUGAUCUACAGGUAAGUGGCAUGCCCAUAUCACACAGCUACUGGAUUCUGGCUAAUGGGUUCUCUCUCUCAUAAAUAUGUAUGUAUAUACAUAUAUGUAUAAUACUCAUACACACAUAUUCCCAUAAGUGUACACACACACCAUACAUACAUAUAUAAUGCAUAUACAUACACAUAUAUAUUCAUUAAAUAUGUGUACAAACAUAUGUAUAUAUUUGAAUUAUUUACUCUGUUCAAGUAUGCAUGGUGUGUGUUAGUGUCUUAUGUCUGUAUGAGCAUAUAUUUUAUAAAGAACAGUAUUGUAGAGCUUCAGAAAUGUUCUGGCAGCAACAAAAGACUAGAUAUGAUAAAGAAGAUUCCCUGAUUUUUGAUUCUGUCUCAUUUUUUUAAGUUAUCCGUGACUCAUCUUCAAGAUGAACUUUCCUGCCCUUCAUUAAUUGCAGUAGAAAUACAUGCAGAUCAGAGAAAGUUUGUCCUGGUGUCCCCUUGCUGUGGAAGUUAUGCCAAGCGCAUAUCUAUGCUGAGCGUCUGUGCAGUUCAGUCAUCGUCAGCAGAUCCAGACAAUUCUAUUUGCAUAAUGAACUCUCCUAGCUGUCUUUAGAGGCUCUGCCAGCAAAGAUUAGAGAAUAACCACCUAAGGAUUAUUGCUAUGUCUCCUUCAAUGAGCUCUCUCAGAUGCUGUCCGCUCUGGGCUGAAUUGCUGACCCUUAAUUUGAGAUCUAAAUGAGUGUGAGCGGUUUUCUACAAGAUCUUAAAGUGUGGUGAACUUUGGUUAUGUCAUUAACACCAGAAAGUCAAACUAGGCUAAGUGGGUAAAAAUGGGGUCUCCUCAUUAACUACAGGUGAAAGAGGCAAGAAACUGAAUUGUGAUGUUCAGUAAAUAUU